rnacentral:rRNA from 1 species
UAGCAAUUAUACAGCGAAACUGCGAAUGGCUCAUUAUAUAAGUUAUCGUUUAUUUGAUAGUACCUUACUACUUGGAUAACCGUGGUAAUUCUAGAGCUAAUACAUGCUAAAAAUCCCGACUUCGGAAGGGAUGUAUUUAUUAGAUUAAAAACCAAUGCCCUUCGGGGCUCCUUGGUGAUUCAUGAUAACUUCUCGAAUCGCAUGGCCUUGCGCCGGCGAUGGUUCAUUCAAAUUUCUUCCCUAUCAACUUUCGAUGUUUGGGUAUUGGCCAAACAUGGUUGCAACGGGUAACGGAGGGUUAGGGCUCGACCCCGGAGAAGGAGCCUGAGAAACGGCUACUACAUCCAAGGAAGGCAGCAGGCGCGCAAAUUACCCAAUCCCGACUCGGGGAGGUAGUGACAAUAAAUACUGAUACAGGGCUCUUUUGGGUCUUGUAAUUGGAAUGAGUACAAUUUAAAUCCCUUAACGAGGAACAAUUGGAGGGCAAGUCUGGUGCCAGCAGCCGCGGUAAUUCCAGCUCCAAUAGCGUAUAUUAAAGUUGUUGUGGUUAAAAAGCUCGUAGUUGAACCUUGGGCCUGGCUGGCCGGUCCGCCUCACCGCGUGUACUGGUCCGGCCGGGCCUUUCCCUCUGUGGAACCCCAUGCCCUUCACUGGGUGUGGCGGGGAAACAGGACUUUUACUUUGAAAAAAUUAGAGUGCUCCAGGCAGGCCUAUGCUCGAAUACAUUAGCAUGGAAUAAUAGAAUAGGACGUGUGGUUCUAUUUUGUUGGUUUCUAGGACCGCCGUAAUGAUUAAUAGGGACAGUCGGGGGCAUCAGUAUUCCGUUGUCAGAGGUGAAAUUCUUGGAUUUACGGAAGACUAACUACUGCGAAAGCAUUUGCCAAGGAUGUUUUCAUUAAUCAGGAACGAAAGUUAGGGGAUCGAAGACGAUCAGAUACCGUCGUAGUCUUAACCAUAAACUAUGCCGACUAGGGAUCGGACGAUGUUAUAUUUUGACUCGUUCGGCACCUUACGAGAAAUCAAAGUGCU